rnacentral:rRNA from 1 species
AAAGUGUUUCUAGAAAGG